rnacentral:lncRNA from 1 species
GUUUUUGCUAACUUAAAUAGAUUUUAAUAUUCCUGAUAAAGUAAAUACUGAUGGGCAUAAACUGCUAUUGUGUGUUUUAAUAUAUUUCAGUGUAUAUUAUAUUUAAUAUUCCUUUUACAAGAAAAUGUUUCAUCUAAGCUCAGAGAAUGUAAAGAUACAGUAGAUGCACUUACACAUACUUAUUCUCCUAUUUUACUGUAAUGAAAUGGUUGGAUAUUUUGGCGGGGCCUGGUACUGGAGAUUGAACUCAGGGGUGCUUAACCACUGAACCCACCACCCCCAGCUCUUUUUAUAUUUUAUUUAGAGACAGAGUCUUGCUAAGUUGCUGAGGCAGGCUUUGAACUCAUGAUUCUCAUAACUUGGCCUCCCUAGCUGCUGGGGUUACAGGUAUGCAUCAUCACAUCCAGCUGGUUGAAUUGGUUUUAAACUGAAUUUAGAGAUAGUGACUUUUGGUAGUGUCUUUUGUCUUCUCCAUUAUACAGGCACUUUUGAACUCUUUCUCUUCCCUCCCCAUCAUCGUCCAUCUUCCCUUCAAACUCAUGGUCAUAUCAAAUAAUCUGAUUUACCAUUGGCUUUUAAAUCAAACCAGUGGAAUUCUUUGGAAUUAAUUAGCAUUUAUCUUAUUUCUCCAUCCACUGAGCUAAAUCCCUAACUUUUUUUUUUGAGACAGGGUCUUGCUUAGUCACUUAGGGCCGCACUUAAGUUGCUAAGGCUGGCCUCGAAACUUGGAAUCCUCUUGCUUCAGCCUCCUGAGUCACUGGGAUUACAGGUGUGUAUCACCACACCUGACCAGAUACUUCUUUUAUGAUUUAUGAUGUCCCCCCACCUUUUGAUGGUGCUGGGGAUUGAAUCCAGGGCCUUGUGCAUGCUAGGCAAGCACUCUACCAACUGAGCUAUAUCCCUAGCCUUUUUUUAAUGAUGCUUUUUAACUUAAAACCUACAUUAACUUCAGAAGUUUAGGACUAAUGAGCAUUUUAUGCUAAGUGUAUGGAGGGACUAUGGCCUGAGUUCAUCCAUGAUGGGAGAAUGCUAAGAUGCCAUUAUUAGCAGUCAGCUUUAAUACGUGUCAUGAUAUGAGAGAUGUAUCUCUGAAUUACUGUUAUAUUUAUUCAAUAGUCUGAGAGCCAAAGAACAUAAACAGGUGUCUAAAUACUCUAUUUACUUUAAAAAUUUCAGUAAGUCAAUGGAUCUAAGAGCCUAGUCAACAGCUUUUAUAAUAUCUUUAGUGUCCAUCUUGGGGGGGCAGAUUUUUUUCCUUUUGAAGGUCUCAUUUAAAGUGAAGAUGAAGCAGUCCUCAUUCUUUAAAGUGUCAAGGUA